rnacentral:piRNA from 1 species
UCCUUUCUCGGGUCACCAAAGUGAUGUAAU